GACGAACGCUGGCGGCGUGCUUAACACAUGCAAGUCGAACGGAAAGGCCCUGGUUUUGUGGGGUGCUCGAGUGGCGAACGGGUGAGUAACACGUGAGUAACCUGCCCUUGACUUUGGGAUAACUUCAGGAAACUGGGGCUAAUACCGGAUAGGAGCUCCUGCUGCAUGGUGGGGGUUGGAAAGUUUCGGCGGUUGGGGAUGGACUCGCGGCUUAUCAGCUUGUUGGUGGGGUAGUGGCUUACCAAGGCUUUGACGGGUAGCCGGCCUGGGAGGGGGACCGGCCACAUUGGGCCUGAGAUGCGGCGCAGUCUCCUACGGGAGGCAACAGUGGGGAAUAUUGCACAAUGGGCGGAAGCCUGAUGCAGCGACGCCGCGUGCGGGAUGACGGCCUUCGGGGUGUAAACCGCUUUCGCCUGUGACGAAGCGGGAGUGACGGUAACGAGUGAAGAAGCACCGGCUAACUACGUG
rnacentral:rRNA from 1 species